AGUGGGGAAUAUUGGACAAUGGGCGAAAGCCUGAUCCAGCCAUGCCGCGUGAGUGAUGAAGGCCCUAGGGUUGUAAAGCUCUUUCACCGGUGAAGAUAAUGACGGUAACCGGAGAAGAAGCCCCGGCUAACUUCGUGCCAGCAGCCGCGGUAAUACGAAGGGGGCUAGCGUUGUUCGGAAUUACUGGGCGUAAAGCGCACGUAGGCGGACUAUUAAGUCAGGGGUGAAAUCCCGGGGCUCAACCCCGGAACUGCCUUUGAUACUGGUAGUCUCGAGUCCGAGAGAGGUGAGUGGAAUUCCGAGUGUAGAGGUGAAAUUCGUAGAUAUUCGGAGGAACACCAGUGGCGAAGGCGGCUCACUGGCUCGGUACUGACGCUGAGGUGCGAAAGCGUGGGGAGCAAA
rnacentral:rRNA from 1 species